rnacentral:rRNA from 1 species
CACUACCUACGGGAGGCAGCAGUGGGGAAUAUUGCGCAAUGGGCGAAAGCCUGACGCAGCGACGCCGCGUGAGGGAUGAAGAUCUUCGGAUCGUAAACCUCUGUCAGCAGGGAAGAACGGUCACUGUGCUAAUCAGCAGUGAAUUGACGGUACCUGCAAAGGAAGCACCGGCUAACUCCGUGCCAGCAGCCGCGGUAAUACGGAGGGUGCGAGCGUUAAUCGGAAUUACUGGGCGUAAAGCGCUCGUAGGCGGUAUGUCAAGUCAAGGGUGAAAUCCCCGCGGUCAACGUGGGUA